CGACCUCUGCCAUGUCCGAUCCGGGCAAGUUUGUCGACCCUACAAUCACUAAUCCGGGGAACCUUGACGAUUCGGCCGCGUGUAUAUCCGAGUUCGCUCGGCUCACACAACCCGGGUGCGGGGUACCCACUUUAGAUUCACGGGUUCAGUACAUUCUCCACCCCGGAGCGGCAUUGGUGGAGGUUUC
rnacentral:other from 1 species